rnacentral:lncRNA from 1 species
CUACGGAUGUGGACCUUGAGCAUCAGCUGGGCAGAAUGAAGUGAGACAGAAGCUGUCUCCUCGCUGAGUCUGGCAGCCAAAGAGGCUCAGGGGCCCGGAGUGCUUCCGUGAAAGCCUGUUGGAAGUUUUCAGAACUGCAGCCCACGGCCUAGCGACUGCAGCUCUGAAGGACCCAGGAUGAACCUCAUGGGAAACCUCUUGGACCUCACCUUGCAGAUUCUACCAACUUUGCUACUAGGCUGUAACCUUGAUGAAUGGAAAAGGUUUGACCCUGACAAUUUAAAAAAGGAACAGCUUUAUCUACUAUUGCAACAUGACUUGUGUUCAGUAUGAACUGGGAAAUGGUGAAGGAUGGGUAUGGGGUGGCACUUUAAGUUAUGAGACUAGUCUUUAGUUAUAGUGUUUCUGCUUGAAACAUAAGAGGUGGAAUGAAAAUCCCCUUUGUUCAAGCCUUUGUGACCUUUUGUCACAAGGAAGACCUAGAAACUAUGGUUCUCAGUGUUGGUCUCAGCUGCUGACAUAUUGAACAUUCAGCAGUGGCUGUAACCAGAUCACCCUUUGUGGGUGGAAGUCCAUGUUGCUGAGUUCCUAUGUAACCUUCAUCCGUGCCACCAUGGCCACUUUGUUCAUGAGCCCAUUGAGCAGUGAUGGGGCUGGCUGAAGAAAAAGAUUGACUGUUAUCCACAGAACGGGUCAUCCUAUCCACUGGAUUAUUUAAGUCUUCUUCUGCUGAGAUCACCUUUGGUGAGCAUUUAUGUGGAACACAAAUAUCUUUAUGUUCUUUGUCUAAAUGGAGAGGUCUAGUCAUAUACCUCAUUCCCAAAUAUCUUUGUCACCAGUUUUCUAGUCACGUUCCUUCCAAGUCCCUGACCAUCUGGCCAGACCAUUGGCUACAGCCCAUGAAUCAGUAUAUAGUUGCACAUCUGAUCAUUCUUUUCUUCCUAGAAAAAUGUGCAAUCAGGGGCACUGUCUUAAUCUGUGCCCAGUGUGAAGAUUUCUCUUCACUACUGUUCUUCAGGGAAGUCCUGGAAAUGUGAUAGCUGUCCACUUUCAAGUGGUAGCUUCAUAACAUGCAGAGCCAUUUGUAAACCAGGACCUAGUCUUCUCUUCCUGUGCCAAUUGAUCAUGUGAUAUUCCCCAUGAGGCCGUAGGUAUAUGCUGGACAACAAAAGGCAGUAUAGCAGGAGUAGGAACCAUGGGUUUUUGGGCAACUUCUUCAUGUAAGUUACUUGUACUUUUCAAAACUGUUCAGGGUUGAUUGUGUAUUUACUACUUCCAUUUCAUGGUGGACUGUUGCUGUGCAUGUUUAAGUUUAUGACUUGGAGGGUCAGAUAGUACUAUUUCAUGAUGGGCAGCUCAAGUUGCAUGGUAACCUGGUGUCCUAUGGUCAAGCUUUCAGUUUCCACUAAGGCCUAGUACCAGGCGAGGAGCUGGUUUUCAGCAAGAGUACUUGUCUGCAGAUAAUUGCAGAGCCAUGCUCCAAAAUCCUGAAGUUUGCCACUGUGAUUCACCUAUGGGAGCCUUCCAGAGGCUCCAAAUAGCAUCACUGUUUGCCACCAACAUGUUAAGUACCAUUGGAUUAUGAGUCAGUCAGUAAAUGGGCCAGAAUAACACAGAUGAUUAGCAGAAUUAAAGGGUGUAACACACAGAAAAAGUCCCUUGAAUUUUAACAGUCAAGAAGAGUAUCUCUAGACAUUGAGAAAAACCAUACAGGGAGAAAUGUUAGGGAAAAGAAGGACACAUUUAUUAAAUAUCAACUCAAUGGAGCACUUGGCUCGUUUGUUUGUUUUAAGGUCUUGCCAUUGUUUAAAUGGCUAGCUCUACCCUCUCUCUUUUUUUUUUUGAGAUUGUUUUGUAUUCUGCAACAUCUAUUCUUCUUUUUUUUUCUUUAUUAAAUUCUUUUAUUGGUACACUGUAGGUAUACAACACAAUUACAUUUCUCAUUGGGAAUUGUACCUUUACAUAAUGCAUCUUGGUUCUUAUUUUUCCCCAUUGCUAGCCCUCCCUUCACCCCCUCCUCCCUUCCCUAUUUACAAAGACUUUAGUUCCAUUUUUUCCAUUUCUCAGCAUUUUUCCUUUCCCUUCUUUCCUUUCCCCUGCCCCUCCCACUACCCCUACCCCUUUGGACCUUUGCUUCCUAUUUUGCAUUAUUGAUUAUUCAUUCUAAUCAUUGGUACAUUUUAGGUAUACAAUAGAAUGACAUUCAUCAUUGGAAGUUUGCACCUUUCCAUUGAAAGUCUACCCUCUCUCUUAAGACUUAAGAUUGCAUGUCACUAAGGGGAACAAUUCACAUCUUUGUAAGGAGCAUGGAAAACUCGGUCCUGGGGAUAUACCCACCUUUUCUGGAAUUUUGCAGAGCACUUUCCAUCACUUGUGAUGACCCACUGCUUCUUGCGCCUACAUUCUUACCCAUGUGAAUUCCAUUCUCACCUACUCAAGUCCCAUUUGUCUCUGCCCUCUGACUUUUUUUUGGGGGGGGGGGGUACCAGGGAUCCAACUCAGGCCCUUGCACUUGUGAGGCAGGUGGUGGCACCACGGAGCCAAAUCCCUGGCCCUGCCCUCUGGCUUCUGAUAAGAGAGCUCCCUGUCUACCGUUUUAUUCAUUUGGAACAGAGUUCUUUGGCUUUACUCACCUUUCCUUUUGCUGCAAGCUUAGCCCCAUGGCUAACAGGCCCCUUCCUGUUUCUGUCUGAAAUAGGGAGCAGUCAGGGCUCUCACCAGGGGAGACCACUCAGAUAUAGCCUUAUAGACACAACUGUGUUGAACCUUCAGAGUUUUGGGUAGUGUGCUCUAGAUAGAAGUUAAGUACCAUUCAAAUGAAAAAAGUGAACUGUUGGGGUUGACAUGUAAUUUUGUGGAUCAAGUCAUGCUGAACCUCCUUCAUUUGUUCCCUCUCUGGAUGCACUCAGGCAGAUCUCACCAGAUAAAGGAGGAGACCAAGUCAGACAACAAGGAAAUUAUCCACAUCAAACCCUCUGUUGCGAGUUCAAAAUGGUUGGAUGCAGUGCUUUUCUUAUAGCAGAAGUACUAUGGGGGAGGGGAGUUGCAUGCCUGCAUUGGUGAGCUAUUAUCAAAAUAAUGCUAUGUAACACGUCGUUCCACAAUUCAGUGAAUUAAAACAAUAAUCUUUUAUCCUGCAUUCAUGGUCCUUUGGGUCACUGACAACUUAGUUGGGCUAGCAUGCUGUUCUAGCCACUACGCUACAGACAGGAUUCAAGUCAGCUCCAAAUAUUUUAUUCUGUGGCUCAUGUCAAAAUGCCAGCAGCUACCUGGAGUAUAUUCUUCUUAUGGUGAGUUAUCAGAACACAAAAGAGCAGCCUAGCCUUACAAGCAUAUUUCAAGCCUUUGUUCAUGUUGUAUAGUACAGCCUAAAGUCAGGAGGUAGAUAUAAUCUACUUUCUAUGAAGCUAUAGUAAGAUGGUAGAUACUUCUACUAAAAGAGAAUGACAAAUUUGGACUAAUAUUUCAAAGUAAUUUGUACCCUAUAAUAAUGUUGACAUAUAUUUCUUCCAGUAAAUUUUUGUUUCUGCUUGGGUUUCUCAAGUAGUCAAAGUAAUGUCUGUAUCACUGGGACCAGAGAAAAUGGGAAGAAUGUUCAAGAAAGGAAGAGCUAGACCAGCGCAUGUUCCAUGAUUCUAAGCCUUUCUAAUUCUCGUAGAGAUGUUGCUAUGUGUGUUCAUGCAUUUUGUAAAGAAAUGCAAAGAAGGACAUGAAAGUUGCAAAAGUGCUUUAGCUUCUAAAAAGAAAGAUCCUCUAAAUCUGAAAGAUAGACCAAUGCUUAAAGCCUUAAAAGCAGUAAAAGGUAUGCAAAUGCUGUUUUUAAUUUUUUUGGCUAAGCAGUGUUUUUAAAAGGAAAAGUAGGUAUCAUUAGCUAAGAUGUUACAAAACUAUCAACUAGAAAUUUUAUUUACAGCUGUCAAGUCCCUUGACUAAUUUACAGAGGUGAAUGGGAGAAGAAAUUGCUGGCUGUACCAAUAUUUUUGGCAAAUUUUGACUUACCCUUUAGUAGCCACUGAUUAACAAAGUUAGCACUAUUAAAGGGUACUAGAAAGGGGAGGGUGGAAAAAGAUUGGUUAACAGGUACAAAGACACAGCUAAAUAGGAGGAAUAAGUUCUGGUGUAUUACUACAUGAAAAAUUAACUAAAGUUAACAAUAUGGAAUCAUAUAUAUCAUAAUGGCUAAAAGAGGAUUUUGAGUAUUCUUAUCAAAAGAAAAGAUAAAUGUUUGAAAUGGUGGGUCACUUAAAUAUUUUAAGUUGAUCACAAUAUUCACAUGUACUGAAAUAUUACAGUGUACCUCAAAAAUACUGUUUGUACAAUUAUUGCCCAUCAAUUACAAUUAACUAAUUAAUUAAAAACCCUAUGACUAUCCCCUAUUAUUGGAGGAAAAUAAAAGAAAAACAAGGAAGCCUGAGAAUGUUAGUGAUGCUAGAAAAUAAGUCUUUCUUUCUUUCUUUCAUUUGUUUGUUUGUUUUCAGGUGUUUUAUAGCAACUACAUGUGGCCCAGAACUUUGGGAUAUUCCUGUCCUGUCUGCAUUCCAGCCGUGUCAAGAUCUUGCUUCUGUUUUUCAUGAAAAGAGCUCUGUGCUGUUUACAUGAGCUGCAGCUUGACCCGCAGCUGUACAACUUUCUUCUUCUAUUGUCUCAGGUCAAGAUGAAUUACAGACAGAGCCUUGACCAUAAAUAUUUAAUGAUUUUUAUCUUCAAAGCAUUGUGCAAGCACACUUAGUCUUAUUUUGAAGUGCUGAGUAGGCAUCUCCGAUCUUCUUUUAUGACAUAGUUUCUUUUUUAAAUGCUAGUCGCACCCUUUAUUCUGAAUCCUUAAUACAAGGCUGAGUUGUCUUUUUAUAAUAGCUUUAUUAAGAUAUAACUCAUAUAAUCAUAAAAUUUACCCUUUUAAAAUGUAGUGCUCAGUGGUUUUUAGUAUUUUUGGAGUUGUGCAACCAUUGCCACUCUCUGAUCUUAGAAUACUGUCUUCAUCACUCUGAAACGAAAUUGAUUUUCAGUAACUCUCCAUUCUGCCUCCCUCACCCUAUCUGACCUAAAGUACCUGUGGCAGACACUAAUCUAUUUUCUGUCUUUAUACCUAUUCUGAACAGUCUCACAUGUUUCUACUUGCCUUCUUUCUCUGCUACCUGCCUCCAUGAGAAGAGCAUCCCAGGGAUUGUCCACUUAUCCCAGAAGGUGAAUGAAAGACACUUGGAAAUGGAACAGAACUUUUCACCUCAGACAAGAGCAACUGCUUCGCAAAUUACUCAGAGUAGCUUGAACUAAAUAAAUCCUUGCUGUUACAUUCCACUGAGCUCUUGUGACCAUUUGUUAUGCAGUGAUAGCUUACUAAUACAAUGGCCAUUGUUAGCAACUCAGUUUUCCAUCUUAUGUUUUCACCAUCCAAGAGAGAUGGGGACAACUAGUGUCUGGUUCCAGCUAAGGGCUCUGAUUGACCCAUCCCUAAUUAUAAGUUAACAGGUUAGCCUGGCAUAGUUUCAUGGAAGUAAGCCAACAAAAUGUGGCCAUGAAGUGACAUGGAAGUGAAGACAUUAUUGUCACUGUUAUGUGAAGGAGUGGGGACAAUUGCUGAGAAAGGAAGGGGUGCUGGACACAUAGAACAUGCAGUCAUGACCUAGGAGGGACAAUGAGGUGCUACCCAAGCAGAGUGCAACUAUGUUCUUGGCACGUUUUACUUAUGUCUGUUCAGUCAUCAGGGAGAGAGCGAGCGAGCGAGAGAGAGAGAGAGAGAGAGGACCGAAUAAUGGUAAUUUUUCCUGGGAUGAAAGUGAAGUGUGUGUGUGUGUGUGUGUGUGUGUGUGUGUGGCUAUUGGAGAUAAGAAUCUCUGGUUAAAGGGUGGGCAUGGUGGCUCACACGAAUGAUCCCAGCACUGGGGAGGCUGAGGCAGGAGGAUCGCUGCGAGUUUGAGGCCAGCCUGGGCUACACAGUGAGUUCUAGGCCAGCCUGGACUACAUAGUGUGACCCUGUCUCAAAAAACCAAAACCAAAACAAACGAACAACAACAAAUAUCUGCUGUUAACUCGGCCUAAAUUCCAAGUCAUCACUCAAAAGGUUUAAGUCAUUUGCUAUACUGAAUGUGAUUCUAUGUAUUUUUGAACAGCUGUUUAUUUUAAACUAUAUAUAAUAGUAUACAUUGUAUAAUUACUCAUACUUCUUCCUGUAUAAUAUUGCAUUACAAAACCAUAUGUACUAUACUUAAUGGGAAGUUUAAGGAAUUUUCAAGUGCAACUGUCCAUUUCCAUACCUGCAUUAAGAAGCUUUUUCUCAGAAAUUACAUGUGUCUCAGAAGGGUGGAAGACAGGACCUGAGUGAGCAAAUAUUGCUUUUUAUCAUUUGGUGAAACAAAGGCUUAAAGUAGAAAUUAAGUAGAGUUUUGGAAAAAUAUUUUUUAAAUUCAAAUGAGUUUGUGAGUUGAGAUUCACACUACAACUCUACCCUUGUUAGUCUCACAUGUUAUUAUAGAAAAUGCAGUUGAGGUAGAAAGGAAUAUUAGAUGGUAGUGACAAAGAAUGAAUUAGUGCUACACGGAACAGCAGAUGAAUCUUACAAAUAUAAUGUUGAAUGAAAAAGAUUCAUAAGAGCGUUUAGUAUAUGAUCCUGUUUAUAUUAGGUUUCACACCAGGAAAAACUAAUCAAUAAUGUUAGAAAUGUUAGAAUGAGAUAAGGAAACAGAACUUGGGCACUGGCAGGAUACCUGAGACAGUUUUGCAUCCUGGAUUCUCUUCCAGCUGAUUGAGGUCCAUGGGAGACAAGGAUGGAGGUGUCAAAUCAUCCAGAGCAGAACCUGUGUGCCAGUCCCUGGAGACGGUCUAGAAAUUCAGGGGCACUUGGGGACUUGCACACAUCAGAAGAAAUAUCUGAGUAGGUGAGUGUGAGGUAUUGCCACUAAACCCUCUGUGCUGUUCACAGCUGGGUAGGAGCAUCAGAGUAUUCUGGCACAGGUAGCGGUGGCAUGGAUAUGGUCCAGAAGGUUGGCAGCCUUGAAAUGUUUUUGUUUUCUGGGCAAGGAUGGCCCAGCACUGCCCUGCUAGACUCAGUCAUAUUGUGCAGAUGGUGGAUCAGUUGGCCCUGACAAGAUGGCACUUUUAGCCAUCACAGAAUUUUCUGGAGAAGCCAGCUCUUCAUCCUUUCUUUUAGACUUUAAAAUCUUCAUAAAAAUGCUAUGGACCUACAGAGAGUAGUAUAUUUGAGCUCAGGAUUCUAGCAGAAUCAUGGACUUGAAAACAGUCAUGAUUUCUUGCCAUGGAUUACUUCUGCUUCUCCCUGUGUCCUUUCUCUUUGGUAAUGACUGGUUUUUCUCUCCUUCUUAGUCUACAUAGAGGAACAUGCUACCAGCUGGACCAAAGUUUUAAAUGUGAAAAUGCAAAUCCAGGAAAAGAGAUCUAUCCCUCUUCCGAAGCCCAAAGUGAACAUUUUCAAGGGGAUAAGAUUGAUUAGCCUACACUGGGAUGGUGCUCUCUGAAUCGAUAGCUUGUAGCUAGAAGAACAGGAUAAUACUGUACAAACUAUGUGGCUUGAUUUUUUUGACAAGGGGAAGGCAAGAUCUACAAAAGUAGGACAAGUGGUGGGACCAACAAUGUGAGUUCAGGGUGGUCAGUCCUCUUUGGCUUCUUUUCAUGGCUGCUGAGAAAGAAGAUGGAACAGGUUCCCUGAGCCCUCAUCCAAGGAAGUAAGAAUUGAUUACUAGCUUAGCCAUUACUUUACCUUGCUUGCAGACAUGUCCUCCUUUGAACUCUCUUUGUUUUUCUUUAUCUAUCUCCAGCCUGUAGACAAAGAAGCUCUGCUGAGGCUCCCAAGUGAAAGGUGCUGUCCCAUUUUACAAAAGCCUUAGGACCAGUCCUCAGAACACUUUGGUCCUUUGCCAUCCGAGAGCAAGUACACGGAGGUGUCUUGAGGCGUUAAGCGCCAGCUUGCAGAGAUAGUGAGGUAUAUUUUAGAACCCAAACUGCUGUCAGGGAACAUAUGGAUUUUGUUAUUUCCAUCCUAGCAGCUUUCUCUCCAUGGGUUUUGACAUAUGAAUUUCAAAAGGAGGGAGUGUUUUCCUGAUUGACACCUCAGAAAUACUCUUUGUGGCAAAAUCACAAAUAUUUCCAGAUCUUGCUGGGCAUGGAGAUGGCUGAGCUGCUGGAGACAUUCUAUCAGUGUCACUUGACACAGCGUGUGAGGUCAGGCAGGGGUGAACACUGUUGGCUGGACACAAAGGUUGAGCAUUAUCUGCUCUGUGGGGGGACACAUCACACUCAGCCAGCUCAGGAGGGAGACUGACACAUGUGGGUCAUUGCACGGAGUCUUUUCUCCCUGGCAGAGCAAAGCAGGCCUGACAUUCCCGGAAGAAAAUGACACUGAAAGCAGUCAGACAAAGGCCAGGCAAGCAUUACCAAGGCUUUCUGGAAAAAGCUUUCUUCGUGGACUCACGCCAAUCAUUACUUUACUUACCUUAACUAAUUCAUUUCUUGUUUUUGUUCCUUAAUAAAAGAAAGGCAACUGUCAUUUAUUGAAUUUUUUGUGGGCUAGGAUUGGUAGUGUGCAAGAAAUGGCUUGGCCAAGCUCAGGAGAACCAACUGAACAAUUUCCAGGAAUCCUGCAAGAUAACUGUUAAACACAAGCCAUUAUUAAAAAUUAAAUUAUACUAACAUAUAAUUAAACUGUGUUAGAACAGAGGUAAUAAAUACUCAAAACUCAUCACAUUCUAAUUAUUUUACUACAUUGUACUGUUGUGCUCAUGAACUUAUUUGUAUCUACUGCAUCUGUAUGUUGGAAAUACUGUAAAAUAACUUGCUACUGUGCAUCUCUGUGAAAAUUGGCCGUAGUGGGAGGAACUAGCAAAUGUUACAAAUCUGGGCCGGUUUUAAAAAUUGUUUUCAUCCUUCAAGAUAAUGACAACAGUGGAGAAAAUGUUAAUAAUACAGAUUAAAUUAAAAAUGUAUGUUUGUAG